rnacentral:rRNA from 1 species
UACGAAGGGUGCAAGCGUUGUUCGGAUUUAUUGGGCGCAAAGCGCGCGCAGGCGGAUAUGCAAGUCAGAUGUGAAAUCUCGGGGCUCAACUCCGAAACUGCGUCUGAAACUGCAUAUCUAGAAUCUUGGAGGGGGAGGUGGAAUUUCGCAUGUAGGGGUAAAAUCCGUAGAGAUGCGAAGGAACACCAGAGGCGAAGGCGGCCUCCUGGACAAGUAUUGACGCUGAGGCGCGAAAGCGUGGGGAGCAAACAGGAUUAGAUACCCUGGUAGUCCACGCCGUAAACGAUGUGCACUAGAUUUUGCGGGAUUGACCCCCGCAGAAUCGUAGCUAACGCGUUAAGUGCACCGCCUGGGGAGUACGGUCGCAAGACUAAAACUCAAAGGAAUUGGCGGGGGCCCGCACAAGCAGUGGAUCAUGUGGUUUAAUUCGAAGCAACACGCAAAACCUUACCUGGGUUUGAAAUCCUACGAACCUGUCUGAAAGGAUGGGGUGCCCCUCGGGGGAUGUAGAGACAGGCGCUGCUUGGCUGUCGUCAGCUCGUGUCGCGAGAUGUUGGGUUAAGUCUCGCAACGAGCGCAACCCCUAUCUUUAGUUGCCAGCAUUAAGUUGGGCACUCUAGAGAGACUGCCUGGGUUAACCAGGAGGAAGGUGGGGAUGACGCCAAG